rnacentral:rRNA from 1 species
CGUCCGCCCUGGGUUAGUCGGGACCUAAGCUGAGGCCGAAAGGCGUAGGUGAUGGACAACAGGUUGAUAUUCCUGUACUACCGAUAACCAUUUGAGAGAAGGGAUGACACAGUAGGAUAAGCUAAGCACACUGUUGGUUAUGUGUGCCCAAGCAUUGAGGCAGUCAAAGUAGGCAAAUCCGCUUUGAUAAUGCUGGGAUGUGAUGGGGAGCGAAAUU